AAAGUGAGGAAUAAGCCACCGAAAGGUGGUCUAAUACUUCAUAAUAUCCAUCUCGUAUGGAUUAAAGCUUUAUGCGCUUUGGGAGGGCCUGCGUAACAUUAGCUUGUUGGUGAGGUAAAAGCUCACCAAGGCUUCGAUGUUUAACUGGUUUGAGAGGAUGACCAGUCACACUGGACUGAGAUACGGCCCAGACUCCUACGGGAGGCAGCAGUAAGGAAUCUUCCACAAUGGGGCAACCCUGAUGGAGCAAUACCGCGUGCAGGAUGAAGCGUUUCGGCGUGUAAACUGCUUUAUCACCGAAGAUUAUGACUGUAGGUGAAGAAUAAGGACCGGCUAACUACGUG
rnacentral:rRNA from 1 species